rnacentral:rRNA from 1 species
GAAUCGACGGAACCCUUCGGGGGGAAGUCGAUGGAAUGAGCGGCGGACGGGUGAGUAACACGUAAAGAACCUGCCCUCAGGUCUGGGAUAACCACGAGAAAUCGGGGCUAAUACCGGAUGGGUCAUCGGACCGCAUGGUCCGAGGAUGAAAGGCGCUUCGGCGUCGCCUGGGGAUGGCUUUGCGGUGCAUUAGCUAGUUGGUGGGGUAAUGGCCCACCAAGGCGACGAUGCAUAGCCGACCUGAGAGGGUGAUCGGCCACACUGGGACUGAGACACGGCCCAGACUCCUACGGGAGGCAGCAGUAGGGAAUCUUCCACAAUGGACGAAAGUCUGAUGGAGCAACGCCGCGU